UCUGGACCUAUCCUCAUAAUGAAAUCCUGAAAUGAAGACCUACAAAUUUCCUCGGGAAGGUAUCCGUAUGAGUCCAUUUUAACACUGCUAUAAAUAUGCUACAUGAGAUUGGAUAAUUUAAAAGGAAAAGAGGUUUAAUUGACUCACAAUUUCUCAUGAAUGGAGGGCCCUCAGGAAACUUACAAUGCUGGAAGAAAGCAAAGGGGAAGCAAGGAAUAUCUUCACAAGGUGGCAUGAGAGAGAGGGUGGAGGUGAAACUGCUAAACACUUUAAAACCAUCAUAUCUCAUAAGAACUCAUUCACUAGCAGAAGAACAGCAAGAGGGAAACCACCUGCAUGAGCUAAUCACCUCCAACCUGGUCCCUCCCUCAAAAGAUGGGGAUUACAAUUCAAGAUGUGAUUUGGGUGUGGACACAGAUCCAAACCAUAACAGCAGUUGUGGGUAAUA